rnacentral:rRNA from 1 species
GACGAACGCUGGCGGCGUGCUUAACACAUGCAAGUCGAACGGAAAGGCCCUGCUUUUGUGGGGUGCUCGAGUGGCGAACGGGUGAGUAACACGUGAGUAACCUGCCCUUGACUUUGGGAUAACUUCAGGAAACUGGGGCUAAUACCGGGUAGGAGCUCCUGCUGCAUGGUGGGGGUUGGAAAGUUUCGGCGGUUGGGGAUGGACUCGCGGCUUAUCAGCUUGUUGGUGGGGUAGUGGCUUACCAAGGCUUUGACGGGUAGCCGGCCUGAGAGGGUGACCGGCCACAUUGGGACUGAAAGACGGCCAACACUCCUAGGGGAGGCAGAAGGGGGGAAUAUUGAACAAGGGGGGGAAGCCUGAUGCAGCACCGCGGCGUGCGGGAUGAGGGCCUGCGGGUUGUAACCCGCUUUCGCCGGUGACGAAGGGGGGGGGAGGGUAAGGGGUAAAGAAGCCCCGGAAAACUACGUG